rnacentral:rRNA from 1 species
UACGGAGGGUGCGAGCGUUGUCCGGAAUUACUGGGCGUAAAGCGCGCGCAGGCGGCCCGCGAGGUGUCACGUGAAAGCCCCGGGCUCAACCCGGGAGGGUCGUGGCAAACCGGCGGGCUUGAGGCCGGUAGAGGUGGGUGGAACUCCUGGUGGAGUGGUGAAAUGCGUAGAGAUCAGGAAGAACACCCGUGGCGAAGGCGGCCUACUGGGCCGGUACUGACGCUGAGGCGCGAAGGCGUGGGGAGCGAACGGG